rnacentral:lncRNA from 1 species
UUUGAUCUGCUACAUGUUGAGAGUUUACAAAAUUUUCUUUUUAAUAAUUAAAAUGCUUUAUCAGUGAUAUUAUGCACAUAAUAUAUUGUAUAUUUACAUUUACAAAAUAAAAAUACCAACAAACUCAUGUUUUUUUAUACAACAUGAUUGAAAGAAAUAAUAGUCAUUGUGAUCUAUCGGCCUUUACCGUUCCACCCCCAAUUCUGUUAACUGUUAAAGCAUUAAGAUAUCUGAGAAAAGUAAUUUACUAAUCGCGAUGAUGCGAAAUGGCCCCCAAACUUUCCCCUAAGCCUGCAAUCUGCAAGGAAUUCGACUCAGUCGACUCAGUCGAAAUUGUCUUCAUUACUGUCGCCUUCACAUAACUUUUGAUCGUGCUGACACAGACCUGCAAGAUUAUCGCCUCGGGGUUCACGAACAUAAUACUGUGAUGUCGCAGACCAAGGAAGUAGAUAAUAAGGGGGAGUUCUCGUAAGAUUAAAUAUUUUAUUAAACAACUUAAAACGGUAAAUAUGUUGAUAGGUCGCCUGAUGGAAAGUGGAAAUUGUCGCCUAUGAAUAUGA